rnacentral:rRNA from 1 species
GACGCGGAGUGAAAUCAAAGUAGCGAAGGUCAUGAUGUCACACUGCCAAGAAAAGCUUCUAGCCAGAGCAAUUUUACCCGUACCGCAAACCGACACAGGUAGUCGAGUGGAGAACACUCAGGUGAGCGAGAGAACUCUCGUUAAGGAACUCGGCAAAAUGACCCCGUAACUUCGGGAGAAGGGGUGCUGAUGGUAAAAGAUCAGCCGCAGUGAAUAGGCCCAAACAACUGUUUAUCAAAAACACAGGUAUCUGCAAAAUCGUAAGAUGACGUAUAGGUGCUGACACCUGCCCGGUGCUGGAAGGUUAAGAGGAGAGCUUAGCGCAAGCGAAGGUUUGAAUUGAAGCCCCAGUAAACGGCGGCCGUAACUAUAACGGUCCUAAGGUAGCGAAAUUCCUUGUCGGGUAAGUUCCGACCUGCACGAAAGGUGUAAUGAUUUGGGCACUGUCUCAACGAGAGACUCGGUGAAAUUAUAAUACCCGUGAAGAUGCGGGUUACCCGCGACAGGACGGAAAGACCCCAUGGAGCUUUACUGUAGCUUGAUAUUGAGUAUUUGUUAAACAUGUACAGGAUAGGUAGGAGCCAGAGAAAGUAGGACGCUAGUCUUACUGGAGGCAAUGUUGGGAUACUACCCUUGUUUGAUGGAUCCUCUAACUCGCAGAGCUGAGCGUUCUGGAGGACAGUGUCAGGUGGGCAGUUUGACUGGGGCGGUCGCCUCCUAAAAUGUAACGGAGGCGCCCAAAGGUUCCCUCAGAAUGGUUGGAAAUCAUUCGCAGAGUGUAAAGGUAUAAGGGAGCUUGACUGCGAGAGGUACACCUCGAGCAGGGACGAAAGUCGGGCUUAGUGAUCUGGUGGUACUGCAUGGAAAGGCCAUCACUCAACGGAUAAAAGCUACCCUGGGGAUAACAGGCUUAUCUCCCCCAAGAGUUCACAUCGACGGGGAGGUUUGGCACCUCGAUGUCGGCUCGUCGCAUCCUGGGGCUGAAGUCGGUCCCAAGGGUUGGGCUGUUCGCCCAUUAAAGCGGCACGCGAGCUGGGUUCAGAACGUCGUGAGACAGUUCGGUCCCUAUCCGUCGUGGGCGUAGGAAAUUUGAGAGGAGCUGUCCUUAGUACGAGAGGACCGGGAUGGACAUACCGCUGGUGUACCAGUUGUCUUGCCAAAGGCAUCGCUGGGUAGCUAUGUAUGGAAGGGAUAAGCGCUGAAAGCAUCUAAGUGCGAAGCCCCCCUCAAGAUGAGAUUUCCGAUGCGCAAGCAGUAAGACACCUUAAAGACGAUGAGGUAGAUAGGCUAGGAGUGGAAGCAUAGCGAUAUGUGGAGCGGACUAGUACUAAUCAGUCGAGCACUUGACCA